AAUAUAAGUAUAGGUAUAAGUAUAAGUACAGGUGUUGACUGAUAGAGGAACGGGUGGAUGAAUUUGUAAUAGAAAAAUAUAUUGAAACAAGUAUAAGUGCAGAUAUAGUAUGUGAGGUCAAAAUCAAAUAAACUGUUAUCAUUAUUUAUUAAUUU